GCCCUCGUAGCUCAGUGGAUAGAGCACCGGCCUCCGGAGCCGGGCGCGCAGGUUCGAUUCCUGUCGAGGGCGCCA
rnacentral:tRNA from 1 species